AAAAUGGUGCAACCACUAUGGAAAACAGCAUGGCAGUUCUUUGUAAAGUUAAAAGUAGGGUUACCAUAUGAUGCAGCAAUUCUACUUCUGGGUAUAUACCAAAAAGAAUACAAAUCAGAAUUUCAAAGAGGUAUUUGAACGCACAUGUUCAAAGUAGCACUAUUCACAUUUCAGUGGCUUACAAUAAAGAAUAAUUUUGCUCUAUCGGAAGUUUAUCAUAGGUUAUUUUUGACCCUUCAUCUAGACACGACCUAGCGAAAGAAGCAGCCCCUGUCUUAGACUUUGCUUCUCUCCUAGAGAGGAUAAAAAAACAAAAAAACAAAAACUAGAUGGGAAAACAAUAUGAUGGAUUUUUAAAUAUUUCCUCAGAAUGGGCAUACAUUACUUCUACUCAUAUUUAAUUGGCCAAAGCAAGUCUCAGGGCCAAACGUAACUUCAAUGAGCUGAGAAAUAUUAUCCUGCCAUAGGAAGGGUCUGGAAGGGGAGGACAGUGAAUAAAUUGAUAACAAUACAACCAUCCCAAGUAGUAUCACCUGGAGGUUAAGAUCACAGACAUGGAGGUAGAGGACCUAACUUUAAAGCUCAUCCCUAGCAACCAUUAGCUAGGGGACCCCAGGCAAAACCUUUCUCUAAAUCAGUUUCCUCAUGUGUAAAACCUGGAAGAUUAUCUUAGCUACUUCUUAGAGUGGUCUAAGGCUGAGUGAGAUAUUACACAGAAAACAUGGACAAUGUCUCUGCCACAUGGUGCUCAGUAGGAGUUCACCAUUAGUAUUAGCAGUGGAAUUCAAGACAAGGCAAUAGGUCUUCAGCCAUUCAUUCCUUAAAUAUCUGUCUGUUGCCUGCUGAAGGGCAGAUGGUUGUCCAUUGCUCUUUCGCCUAAAAUAUUUGUGUCCCUCUUUAAAGUUAUUAAGUUUAUUUUAUUUUUCACCCUGAGGAUGUAUCCUUAAUUCCAGAGUUAGGACAAAUGCAUAAAAGACAAAGAUGGGAAGGUUUGAUGUUGGGAACAUAUCGUUUCAGGGUGAAACAUUUCAUAGAUUGGUCUCACUGCCUAUUCACUCAGAGUUUUCCUAUGCUGGCAAUGGAAAGAUUCACUCAGUUCAUCAAAUACUCUUUGAAUGGCUGCUCUGUGCAAUGAACCAGGAAGAUAAAGAGGGAGUCUCUGCUGCCCUUUGAUGUGUGUAUUGUCCAGUGAGGGAUAUAACACAGUCGCCUGAAAUAGAAAACUCUCUGGGUGCAGAUGGGAAGAGGGAGAGAGAUGGGGGAGGAGUCGUGGCAAAUCACAAGUGGAGAGACCUGCAUGAACAGGAUUCAGAGUGAAAUUGAAUGUCCCUCGACAACCUGGGCAGACCAUCUUCUAUUUAAUGGAAGGCGGUCAAAACCCAAACCUGAGGCUAAACUAUGAGCAACAAGUCACAGGGAGUUGAAAACAAUGAAGGGUCCCUGUUAAAUGCUUUGUUUACAUCAAAAGUAAAACUCCCAUUAACUUGUUUUCUUAUUUAAGCGUGAUUAUUCCUAACUCACCUUUGCAACUUGACAGUCGGCCCCACUGAUUUCUGGGGGCCUCUAAUACAGGGCUUCUGAGUUGGCAUCUUGAUAUAUGGAGAAGAGCAGAAAGUGAUGCUAAACUCUCUGACAACAGAACUUAAUACACCGUGUAAUUCUGGGGUCCCUGAGACACACUUUUGUUUAUUUUUCCAGGCUUUGGGUAUUCCAAAUACCCGAGACAGGGCAUUUUUCCAGGCUUUGGGUAUGCUAAGUCAGCGUCUACUGGGGUGGAAAAUACCAAAGAUGAAAUGGUUUCUGUGGUAUCUAUCAAACCUGAGGGUCCUCUCCUCCCUGGAGAAGAGCCUAAUUUUCCUCCUUAUAUCAAAAUGGGGCCAGCAUUUCUGGACAACAAUGGACAGAGAACUAGGUUUAACAAGCCUUGCAGUCUCUGUAAAAUGCAAUUCCAGGCAAUACAAAGUAUUACCCAAAUCAGGACCAGCUGGUAAUUUGUGGGCACAAGUGCAAACUGAAAACGCAAGGUGUCUGGUUUGAAAUUUAUUAAGAAUUUCAAAUUGGUGACAGCAAAGCAUUAAAGCAUCCAGAGGACUCCAAAGCUUAGGACUCCUGGGCUUUGCACCGAGAACUAGAUGAAGCCCACUCUGCCUGAGUUCUCUCCACCUAAAGGUGGGAUUUCUGAAGUGUCGACGUGGCCCGCAAGCCCAGCACUGACAUUUUUCUGCGAACGGAGGUCAGUGGCGGAAUUGCCCACAUUGUAGUUACCUCUGUCUCCACGGUUCUAUCCAAGCCACUGUUUGCAACCUGGGCUUCAGAGAAGCACUGGGGAUCUUGUUACAGGAAUGCAAAGCAAGCAAGCAUCAUUUCUCCAAAACAGGGGAAUCAUUGAAAGAAAUGUACAAACUUUCAUUUUUUUUUUUCUUUUCUUGUUUAAAUCUUGAGAGAGACAAGAAGAACACUGCAUGCCUUACUCAGACGAUCAUUAAAAUCUGCCGUCUUCAUCUUCCAAGGAGAAGAAAAGAAUCCUUUUACGGUGAUGAUUCAGUCAAUAUAGGCAAAGUUACGUAAUAGAAACAAACAGCUCCCCCAGGACAAGGGCUGACAAUAACAAAAGCUUUCUUCUCUUUCCCAGUGUGGUUCCAGGCGGUGCUCCAGGGCAACUGUUUUUAUGUGGCAACUAAGUUAAGUACUUACUUCAAACAUGGACACAAAGGAAAUCCAUAAACUCAUUUCAGGCCAGAGAUUAUACACAAUGGAGGGUCUUGCACUCAAAUGCAUGUUCGAGGUCUCCACAUGGGCAAAAUAGUUGGUAAUAGUAAUUAAAUUUAAUUCACACCUUUGACAAUUGUGCCUUUUCAUUCCAAACACUAGAAAGCUACCCUCCUAAGGUUUUAUCAGAAAGCAGUUUCAUUUCUUGUGGCAAGACAGGCAGUGAAAUCUUGCAUUAGAAAAAGUGCGCCUCUGUCUCCUGCUUUUGCAGGCCCCAGAAUCUACUCACUCUCUGCUCAGGCAAAAAAUCAACACGGAAACUAGACGAUACAUUUCAUUUCAAUCAAGAGUUUCAUGGAGUCUCAGAGACACAAACAAGAUUUAUGGCUCUUUAGAAGCUAUAGUGUAUAAAAACAAAAUGACUUCUAAAAACUAUUUUCUUGAAGUUAAAUGCAAAUCAAAUAGGCCCUAAUCUACUCAGCAUUUAUCUAGUGCCACUCGCUGCAGUGUCUGGAAAUUUAACGUGGUUAUUUAGCAUUCAUAUGGCACUGUCUCUUUGCUGCUCUGAAACAUCACUCUACUCAGUCGUUUUGAUUUUACCCCAUGAGCAGUGACCGGUCAGUCCGUUCCAUUUUACAGCUGGGGAUACCUCGAAGGUUGAAGUUCCCAUGGCAUCACAAGGAUUCCAGCCCUUGACCUAGUAAGUCUGCUCCUCCGAGCCCUGGAGUUUCUGCAUUUCCUGUCAAUGCCAAUGAGAAGGGUUGGACAGGAGCCUAAAUCUUGGACAUGCCUCAAACCUUACUCAGUUGGUUUUAGUCAUUCUCAAUCUUCUUUUUGCUUUUCUUCACGGAUGCCUGCUUGAAAAGCUCUGUAUCUACUGACCGAUGCACUUUAGAUGAGCGGAAGUUUCGGAGUAGAUCAAAUAAUUUAAAUUACAUCCAAAUCAUGGAGACCUGGCUAUAUCUUUCUUCUCUCCCCCACUGGUUGGGACCCCCUGGUGUGGUUGGACAUCAUAGUGUAAAGAGACUCCAUGUGACAUUGACAUCAAGGUCAUAGUGGAGGCCUACCUGGGGGCAUCACAUUAUCACAUUUCUCGUGGAAUGUACACAGGGCUGCGAAUGUACACAGGGCUGCGAAGCUCAACUGAUAAAUAUACGAUCUUUUCACAGUUGAUCCUGGACACAUGCUGAUCAGUAUAAUCCAUCAUGGGACAAUCUUGUCACUUCAGUUGAGAGAACAAUUCAAACUACUAGUGAGGAGUUCCCCUUGUGGCUCAGCAGGUUAAGAACGUGAUGUAGGAUGCAGGUCCGAUCCCUGGUCUUGCUCAGUAGGUUAAGGAACUGGUGUUGCUGCAAGCUGCAGGGGGGGUCACAGAUGUGGCUGUGGUGUAGGCCUGCAGCUGCAGAUCUGAUUUGACCUCCUGACCCCAGGAACUUCCAUAUGCUGUAGCUAAGGCUGUAAAAACAAAAACAAAAAACUACCAGUGAAUUGAAAUACUCACUCCUAAGAAAGUCUCAAGGUCUUCCUUGAUAGAAUUUUUGCUCUUACCAUCACCAGCCGUAGUGCUUUUACCCUUGCACAUAACUGCCUUUGGAGCCUUUUUUUGGAUAUAGAAUGCAUUCUUGUGUGUAUACCUUUCUCUUGCUCAAAUGACGAGCACUCUGGGUUCAAGGUCUUUGCUUUGGUGUCUUUAAACGCACACUGACAUCCUCACGCAGGACUUUUGCACAUUCGCUUCCGAUUCAUGUCGAUUAAAUAUAACUUAACAUGAACUUGGAUUUCAAAGUUUCUCAAGAUGUCUCCAUGUCCUAUUAUGAGCAGACCCAUGCCUGCAGGUGAGUAUUGCUAUUAAAAAUGCUUUUGGAGUAAUGCUCUCACCCGCUUUGAAAACUUCUGACUUAGAAUAUUUGCCAGUGCAAGAAAACCGAAACACAAGCUUAGAAUUGAAUAGAGACUGAAAAACAAACUUUCCUCUAGAACUCUAUUUGUGUCAUCUCAUUUAAGAAGCUUCUAUAACCAUUCCUAGAUAGGGUCAGGUACUUCCUGCAUUUUUACCCUCCCGGACAGCUUUGAGCUCUGUUGGGAUCACAGCAUGCAGUAUGUUGCGAGACUGUUACUCAUUCACCAACUGUUUCUAAUACCAGAAUGUAAACUCCUUGACAGGGAGAGCCUAUGCGUUACCUCUCUAACCCGGGUGCCUCGCUUAAGGCAGUGUUUCUAAUGAUGUUGAAUAUAUUCUGCAUACGAAUCUUUUAAACACUGGGGAGUAGAUGUUGCCGUUGUGACGCGGUGGAAACAAAUCCGACUAGUAUCCACGAGGCUGUGGGUUUGAUCCCUGGACUUGCUCAGUGGGUUAAGGAUCCAGCGUUGCCAUGAGCUGUGGUGUCGGUCUCAGAUGAGGCUCAGAUCUCGAGUUACUGUGACUGCGGUGCAGGCUGGCAGCUGUAGCUCCAAUUGGACCCUAGCCUGGGAACUUCCAUAUGCCGCGAGUAUGGCCCUAAAAAACAAAAAGCAAAAAACAAAAAUAAAAAUAAAAAACACUGGGGAGUAGAGACUGAUACUGAAACUUCUAAGUCUACUUUAGGUCUAUGCCAGAGAGCUCAUAAUGAAUGGACU
rnacentral:lncRNA from 1 species